CAGUCGCCGCGGGAAUACGUAGGGUGCGAGCGUUAAUCGGAAUUACUGGGCGUAAAGCGUGCGCAGGCGGUUUUGUAAGACAGGCGUGAAAUCCCCGGGCUCAACCUGGGAAUGGCGCUUGUGACUGCAAAGCUAGAGUGCGGCAGAGGGGGAUGGAAUUCCGCGUGUAGCAGUGAAAUGCGUAGAUAUGCGGAGGAACACCGAUGGCGAAGGCAAUCCCCUGGGCCUGCACUGACGCUCAUGCACGAAAGCGUGGGGAGCAAGCAGGAUUAGAUACCCCGGUAGUCCCUGUCUCUUAUAC
rnacentral:rRNA from 1 species